rnacentral:rRNA from 1 species
UAAUACGUAGGGGGCAAGCGUUGUCCGGAUUUACUGGGUGUAAAGGGCGUGUAGGCGGAUCGUUAAGUCAGAGGUGAAAGCUCACAGCUCAACUGUGAAAUUGCCUUUGAUACUGGCGGUCUUGAGUACGAAAGAGGAAGAUGGAAUUCCUGGUGUAGCGGUGAAAUGCGUAGAUAUCAGGAGGAACACCGGUGGCGAAGGCGGUCUUCUGGUUCGUAACUGACGCUGAGGCGCGAAAGCAUGGGGAUCAAACAGGAUUAGAUACCCUGGUAGUCCAUGCCGUAAACUAUGAGUGCUAGUUGUUAGCCCGGCUUGAGCUGGGUUAGUGACGCAGCUAACGCAUUAAGCACUCCACCUGGGGAGUACGAUCGCAAGGUUGAAACUCAAAGGAAUUGACGG